CAGUGAUAAAGUUUAAAAAGAGAGAGAAAGAGAGAUCAAUGAAAAUGGUAUAAAAGCUCUGUGUCUUUGCCUUUCUGAAAACACCCUGGAUAUGCUGUGAACACAAUUCCAAGACUUGGAACAUGUUUUGAAGACCUUUGGCAGCAUCCAGCCUCUGUGCGGGAAGCCUGUAGCUCCCUGUUAGACCAUGUCUUUCACUAUCAAAUUCAAAGCAUACAAAAUAUUAAACUAAAUAUUAAAGGAACAUAAGAUUUUAUAUAAUAAA